rnacentral:rRNA from 1 species
UGGGGAAUUUUGGACAAUGGGCGAAAGCCUGAUCCAGCCAUGCCGCGUGAGUGAAGAAGGCCUUCGGGUUGUAAAGCUCUUUUAGUCGGAAAGAAAGAGUUGCAAUGAAUAAUUGUGAUUUAUGACGGUACCGACAGAAAAAGCACCGGCUAACUACGUGCCAGCAGCCGCGGUAAUACGUAGGGUGCGAGCGUUAAUCGGAAUUACUGGGCGUAAAGGGUGCGCAGGCGGUCUUGCAAGUCAGAUGUGAAAGCCCCGGGCUUAACCUGGGAAUUGCGUUUGAAACUACAAGACUAGAGUGCAGCAGAGGGGAGUGGAACUCCAUGUGUAGCAGUGAAAUGCGUAGAGAUGUGGAAGAACACCGAUGGCGAAGGCAGCUCCCUGGGUUGACACUGACGCUCAUGCACGAAAGCGUGGGGAGCAAACA